rnacentral:rRNA from 1 species
UACGUAGGCAGCAAGCGUUGUUCGGAAUUACUGGGCGUAAAGAGUGUGUAGGCGGUGUUCUAAGUUUGUCGUGAAAUCUCCCGGCUUAACUGGGAGGGUGCGGCGAAAACUGGAAUGCUAGAGGAUGGGAGAGGUAAGCGGAAUUCCUGGUGUAGCGGUGAAAUGCGUAGAUAUCUGGAGGAAUACCGGUGGCGAAGGCGGCAUCCUGGACCGGCAUUGACGCUGAACGGCGAAAGCCAGGGGAGCAAACGGG